ACCUACAGCCGCACCACACGCGACACUGAGAGAGACUCUGAUAGAAAAGAUAAAGAUGAUGACAAGGACACUGAAGACAAGUCUCAGCCACGCUCUAUACGUGACCGCAGACGACCUCGAGAGAAAAGACGCUCGACUGGAGUGUCCUUCUGGAACCAGGAUAGCGACGAGAACGAGCCAGAGGAGCCAUCGGACUCAGAAGAAGGCAGCACUAAAGGAGAGCCUCAG